rnacentral:rRNA from 1 species
GACGAACGCUGGCGGCGUGCUUAACACAUGCAAGUCGAACGGCGAAGGUGGAGCUUGCUCCGCCGGAUCAGUGGCGAACGGGUGAGUAACACGUGGGCAACCUGCCCCUGACUUCGGGAUAACUCCUCGAAAGAGGUGCUAAUACCGGAUACGAAUCCUGCAGGCAUCUGCGGGAUUGGAAAGUUUUUCGGUCAGGGAUGGGCCCGCGGCCUAUCAGCUUGUUGGUGAGGUAGUGGCUCACCAAGGCGACGACGGGUAGCCGGCCUGAGAGGGCGACCGGCCACACUGGGACUGAGACACGGCCCAGACUCCUACGGGAGGCAGCAGUGGGGAAUAUUGCGCAAUGGGCGAAAGCCUGACGCAGCAACGCCGCGUGAGGGAUGACGGCCUUCGGGUUGUAAACCUCUUUCAGCAGGGAAGAAGCGAAAGUGACGGUACCUGCAGAAGAAGCACCGGCUAACUACGUGCCAGCAGCCGCGGUAA